rnacentral:rRNA from 1 species
UCCGUAGGCGGGCAAUUAAGUCAGAGGUGAAAGUUUGCGGCUCAACCGUAAAAUUGCCUUUGAAACUGGUUGUCUUGAAUUAUUAUGAAGUGGUUAGAAUAAGUAGUGUAGCGGUGAAAUGCAUAGAUAUUACUUAGAAUACCAAUUGCGAAGGCAGAUCACUAAUAAUAUAUUGACGCUGAUGGACGAAAGCGUGGGGAGCGAACAGGAUUAGAUACCCUGGUAGUCC